rnacentral:misc_RNA from 1 species
CAUGUUCCAAAGGAAGAAGUUGAAACCAGAAUAGAACAGAUGAAGGAGGUGACCAGCAAAAACUUGGAAAAGCUCGAGGAAGAGAAGGAUUCCGUCCUGGCACAGAUGGCAGAGUUAAAGAAGAUUCUGUAUGGAAAAUUUGGGGACUCCAUCAACUUAGAGGAGGAUUAAUGGGGUUGUUCCUUUUGCUCUCUUUUUUU